GUGAAGCUGGAUUCGCUAGUAAUCGCGCAUCAGCCAUGGCGCGGUGAAUACGUUCCCGGGCCUUGUACACACCGCCCGUCACACCAUGAGAGUUGAGAAUACCCGAAGUCCAUGUCAAAGUGGCCGAAGGUAGGCUUGAUGAUUGGGGUGAAGUCGUAACAAGGUAGC
rnacentral:rRNA from 1 species